rnacentral:rRNA from 1 species
UGCAGCAACGCCGCGUGAGGGAUGACGGCCUAUCGGGUUGUAAACCUCUUUUAGUAGGGAAGAAGCGAAAGUGACGGUACCUGCAGAAAAAGCACCGGCUAACUACGUGCCAGCAGCCGCGGUAAUACGUAGGGUGCAAGCGUUGUCCGGAAUUAUUGGGCGUAAAGAGCUCGUAGGCGGUUUGUCGCGUCUGCUGUGAAAUCCCGAGGCUCAACCUCGGGCUUGCAGUGGGUACGGGCAGACUAGAGUGCGGUAGGGGAGAUUGGAAUUCCUGGUGUAGCGGUGGAAUGCGCAGAUAUCAGGAGGAACACCGAUGGCGAAGGCAGAUCUCUGGGCCGUAACUGACGCUGAGGAGCGAAAGCAUGGGGAGCGAACAGGAUUAGAUACCCUGGUAGUCCAUGCCGUAAACGUUGGGCGCUAGAUGUAGGGACCUUUCCACGGUUUCUGUGUCGUAGCUAACGCAUUAAGCGCCCCGCCUGGGGAGUACGGCCGCAAGGCUAAAACUCAAAGGAAUUGACGGGGGCCCGCACAAGCGGCGGAGCAUGCGGAUUAAUUCGAUGCAACGCGAAGAACCUUACCAAGGCUUGACAUACACCGGAAACGGCCAGAGAUGGUCGCCCCCUUGUG